rnacentral:lncRNA from 1 species
AGGAAAGAAAGAGAAAGAGAAUGAAAGAAAAAAAUGGAAGGAGGAAGAGAAGAGAAAGAAUGAAUGGUGUGGUGAAGGUCCUUGGGUCACACCUCAGCUUUUAGCAUGAACUAAUGAAGGGACAUCUUUCCUCAUGGCCACAUGUAGCAUCCUGGCCACACUUGGAGAAGAGCUGUGCUCUUUCUAUGGACCCUGGCUGAGGGCUAAUACCCUCUGCCUAGUGCUCCUGUCCCCACUUCCUGCAGAGCUUUGCUUCUCUCUUCUACUUCAGUCCUGUCCUUGUCCUGUGUGACAAAAAGCCUUAAGCUGAACCCAUGUUUUCAGCCCUGUUGCACUCCUUUAUAUACAAACAUCCUAGGAAAAUAUUGAAAAAAACCUCUGUUUUUGAAUUGUUAUUAUUUUUUUGAACCAGGGAUUGAACCCAGGGAUACUUUAGCAUUUAGCCACUCAUUCCCAGUCCUUUUUACUUUAUUAUUAUUAUUUUAUUUUGAGACUGUCAUUAUUUAAGUUGCUUAGGGCCUUGCUCAACCUUCCUAGUUGCUGGGCAUGUUCUAUCACACCUAGCUGUGAAAUGGUAGAUAAAAGAGAAAGAGAUACUAGAGAAAAUAAAGUCAGUCUGAAUAAGUAACUUGUAUCCUCUUUCUCUAGGAUCUCCCUUUCCCCCAAAAGAUUAUGUCCCAAGCAAAGUAUUUUAUAUCGCUAUAGAAAUCACCAUCUCCUAUCCCACUCUGGGCAGGGUCUUCUGUGCAGUCUCUGCGGGGGCCCUGCACUAGGCUGGUCCCAGGCCUGCCCCCUGUGUGGCUCAGGCCUCUGGGCUUGGCUAACAAGUUUCUUGGGUGGUUGGACUUUGUCAGCUCCUAGUGUUUCUGUCAGUUUUGUCUUCCUUUUAAAGCUGUGUUGUUUACAUAAGAUUACUUCCUUUACCAGUUAGAAAUAUAACUGAAUCUUUUCACUCCAAUUUAUAAUUUGUCUGACUUUGAAACUGAUAGUCAUGUUUCAUUCUAUGGCAUUUGAGGAAUAUCAAGUUUACCAGAUUUAAAAAAAAAUCCUCAUCUUCCUGAUAUCAAUUUAUAUCUUUUGUCAAUAACAAUGCUAGAUUUAACUUUUUUCCCCAAUCAAAAAUGGAAGAAGUCAACUUAUUCAAAGUCAUUAAAAUUACUAAUACAUUUGGGAUAGCUUAUUUGUAUAUUCCAUUCAUAGUGAUUUAUUAUUUAUUAUCUCUAUUUAUCCACUAAGAUGUCAGGUCCACCAGAGAGUGUUUCUGUUAAUGGUCUCUGACAUGCCCCAGGCAUCUAGACAGGGACUGGCACACAGUGACACUCAAUAAAUCCAUGUCAAAUAACUGUCCUCAAGGGUUAGACUAUUGUAGCAGGCAGAGUGAGCCAACCUGCCUGGGGCAGGGUGGGGUUCCUAUUUGAAACCCCAAUGUGGUCCAUGACCUCCUUCCCUCACUGCCACCCUGAUGCUUAUCAACUCCAGCUACAUAGGCUGCUUACCUGUUCUCUGUCUUAGGCUUAGGGUACAGGGUG